rnacentral:rRNA from 1 species
GCAAGUCGAGCGGUAACAUUUCAAAAGCUUGCUUUUGAAGAUGACGAGCGGCGGACGGGUGAGUAAUGCCUAGGGAACUGCCCAGUCGAGGGGGAUAACAGUUGGAAACGACUGCUAAUACCGCAUACGCCCUACGGGGGAAAAGAGGGGAUCUUCGGACCUUCUGCGAUUGGAUGUACCUAGGUGGGAUUAGCUAGUAGGUGAGGUAAUGGCUCACCUAGGCGACGAUCCCUAGCUGUUCUGAGAGGAUGAUCAGCCACACUGGGACUGAGACACGGCCCAGACUCCUACGGGAGGCAGCAGUGGGGAAUAUUGCACAAUGGGCGCAAGCCUGAUGCAGCCAUGCCGCGUGUGUGAAGAAGGCCUUCGGGUUGUAAAGCACUUUCAGCGAGGAGGAAAGGUUAACGGUUAAUACCCGUUAGCUGUGACGUUACUCGCAGAAGAAGCACCGGCUAACUUCGUGCCAGCAGCCGCGGUAAUACGAGGGGUGCAAGCGUUAAUCGGAAUUACUGGGCGUAAAGCGUACGCAGGCGGUUGAUUAAGCGAGAUGUGAAAG